CACGUAGGGGCCAAGCGUUGUCCGGAUUUAUUGGGCGUAAAGAGCUCGUAGGCGGUUCAGCAAGUCGGGUGUGAAAACUCUGGGCUCAACCCAGAGACGCCACCCGAUACUGCUGUGACUAGAGUCCGGUAGGGGAGUGGGGAAUUCCUGGUGUAGCGGUGAAAUGCACAGAUAUCAGGAGGAACACCGGUGGCGAAGGCGCCACUCUGGGCCGGCACUGACGCUGAGGAGCGAAAGCGUGGGGAGCAAACAGGG
rnacentral:rRNA from 1 species